rnacentral:misc_RNA from 1 species
GAACUGCGAUAAGUGUGGUGAAUCGCAGAACACCGCGAACCAUUAAACCGUUGAACGCACAUUGCGGCCUCCAGUCCGCUGGGGGUCACGCGUCGCUGAGUGUCGGUUCAAACCUAAUGAGAGAAACCGAAAGGCCACUCUCUAUGUGUCAGUGCAGCUUACCACUGCUCUGAUGAAGUGAAGGCAGGCGUCAUAUCGACGUCGAUCAAGGUACCGUAUUUGUGGCAUCAGAGGCUGUAUGGGAUUGGGUAUCAUUGUCUCUUGUUGUCCGAACGGCUCUGCGAUCUGUCGAUGUCUGCUACCCUCACAGUGCUUGCUAUCCUCUGAUAGCACAGUGCGCCAUGUGACCGGAGAGGGCCUCUUCCACUUGUUGGGGGAGAGCUCUCCACCCACUGACCUC